rnacentral:rRNA from 1 species
UACAGAGGGUGCAAGCGUUGUUCGGAAUUAUUGGGCGUAAAGGGCUCGUAGGCGGUUUGUCGCGUCGGGAGUGAAAACUCAGGGCUUAACCCUGAGCCUGCUUCCGAUACGGGCAGACUAGAGGUAUGCAGGGGAGAACGGAAUUCCUGGUGUAGCGGUGGAAUGCGCAGAUAUCAGGAGGAACACCGGUGGCGAAGGCGGUUCUCUGGGCAUUACCUGACGCUGAGGAGCGAAAGUGUGGGGAGCGAACAGG